UACGGAGGGGGCUAGCGUUGUUCGGAAUUACUGGGCGUAAAGCGCGUGUAGGCGGCUUUGCAAGUCGGAUGUGAAAGCCCUGGGCUCAACCCAGGAAGUGCAUUCGAAACUGCAGAGCUGGAGUCCUGGAGAGGAAGGCGGAAUUCUCGGUGUAGAGGUGAAAUUCGUAGAUAUCGAGAGGAACACCGGUGGCGAAGGCGGCCUUCUGGACAGUGACUGACGCUGAGACGCGAAAGCGUGGGGAGCAAACAGG
rnacentral:rRNA from 1 species